AGUGAACGCUGGCGGUAGGCCUAACACAUGCAAGUCGAACGGCAGCACAGUAAGAGCUUGCUCUUACGGGUGGCGAGUGGCGGACGGGUGAGGAAUACAUCGGAAUCUACUUUUUCGUGGGGGAUAACGUAGGGAAACUUACGCUAAUACCGCAUACGACCUACGGGUGAAAGCAGGGGAUCUUCGGACCUUGCGCGAUUGAAUGAGCCGAUGUCGGAUUAGCUAGUUGGCGGGGUAAAGGCCCACCAAGGCGACGAUCCGUAGCUGGUCUGAGAGGAUGAUCAACACAACGGGAAAGAAGACGCGGCCCCAACUCGUAGGGGAGGCAGGGGGGGGAAUUAUUGGGCAGGGGGCGGAAGCCUGACCCAGCCAUACCGCGUGGGUGAAGAAGGCCUUCGGUUUGUAAAGCCCUUUUGUUGGGAAAAAAAAACAGCAGGUUAAUCCCCCGGUUUUCGACCGGUACCCAAAAAAAAAGCACCGGCAAACUUGGG
rnacentral:rRNA from 1 species